rnacentral:rRNA from 1 species
GGGGACCAUCCUCCAAGGCUAAAUACUCCUGACUGACCGAUAGUGAACCAGUACCGUGAGGGAAAGGCGAAAAGAACCCCGGCGAGGGGAGUGAAAAAGAACCUGAAACCGUGUACGUACAAGCAGUGGGAGCACGCUUAGGCGUGUGACUGCGUACCUUUUGUAUAAUGGGUCAGCGACUUAUAUUCUGUAGCAAGGUUAACCGAAUAGGGGAGCCGAAGGGAAACCGAGUCUUAACUGGGCGUUAAGUUGCAGGGUAUAGACCCGAAACCCGGUGAUCUAGCCAUGGGCAGGUUGAAGGUUGGGUAACACUAACUGGAGGACCGAACCGACUAAUGUUGAAAAAUUAGCGGAUGACUUGUGGCUGGGGGUGAAAGGCCAAUCAAACCGGGAGAUAGCUGGUUCUCCCCGAAAGCUAUUUAGGUAGCGCCUCGUGAAUUCAUCUCCGGGGGUAGAGCACUGUUUCGGCAAGGGGGUCAUCCCGACUUACCAACCCGAUGCAAACUGCGAAUACCGGAGAAUGUUAUCACGGGAGACACACGGCGGGUGCUAACGUCCGUCGUGAAGAGGGAAACAACCCAGACCGCCAGCUAAGGUCCCAAAGUCAUGGUUAAGUGGGAAACGAUGUGGGAAGGCCCAGACAGCCAGGAUGUUGGCUUAGAAGCAGCCAUCAUUUAAAGAAAGCGUAAUAGCUCACUGGUCGAGUCGGCCUGCGCGGAAGAUGUAACGGGGCUAAACCAUGCACCGAAGCUGCGGCAGCGACGCUGAUGCGUUGUUGGGUAGGGGAGCGUUCUGUAAGCCUG